UACAGAGGGUGCGAGCGUUGUCCGGAAUCACUGGGCGUAAAGCGCACGUAGGCGGAUGUUUAAGUCAGAGGUGAAAGCCUGGAGCUCAACUCCAGAACUGCCUUUGAUACUGGGCAUCUUGAGUCCGGAAGAGGUAAGUGGAACUGCGAGUGUAGAGGUGAAAUUCGUAGAUAUUCGCAAGAACACCAGUGGCGAAGGCGGCUUACUGGUCCGGUACUGACGCUGAGGUGCGAAAGCGUGGGGAGCAAACAGG
rnacentral:rRNA from 1 species